rnacentral:rRNA from 1 species
GUUUGAUCAUGGCUCAGGAUGAACGCUGGCGGCGUGCUUAACACAUGCAAGUCGAACGGACCCAUUCUUCGGAAAGGGUUAGUGGCAGACGGGUGCGUAACACGUAGGUGACCUGCCCUGAAGUGGGGAAUAAUUCCGCCAACGCGGAACUAAUACCGCAUGUGCUCGGUGAUUCAGUUCACCGAGUAAAGCCGAAAGGCGCUUCGGGAUGGGCCUGCGGCGGAUUAGGUAGUUGGUGGGGUAAAGGCUUACCAAGGCGACGAUCGGUAGCUGGUCUGAGAGGAUGAUCAGCCACACUGGGACUGAGACACGGCCCAGACUCCUACGGGAGGCAGCAGUGGGGAAUUUUGGACAAUGGGGGCAACCCUGAUCCAGCCAUGCCGCGUGCGGGAAGAAGGCCUUCGGGUUGUAAACCGCUUUUAGCUGGGAAGAAAAGGCCAUCGUUAAUACCGAUGGUUCUUGACGGUACUGGCGGAAUAAGCACCGGCUAACUACGUGCCAGCAGCCGCGGUGAUACGUAGGGUGCGAGCGUUAAUCGGAAUUACUGGGCGUAAAGCGUGCGCAGGCGGUUCGUUAAGUCUGUCGUGAAAGCCCCGGGCUCAACCUGGGAAUGGCGAUGGAAACUGGCGAGCUGGAGUGUGGCAGAGGGGGGUGGAAUUCCAGGUGUAGCAGUGAAAUGCGUAGAGAUCUGGAGGAACACCGAUGGCGAAGGCAGCCCCCUGGGCUGACACUGACGCUCAGGCACGAAAGCGUGGGGAGCAAACAGGAUUAGAUACCCUGGUAGUCCACGCCCUAAACGAUGGCAACUGGGUGUUGGGGGAGCGAUUCCUCAGUACCGUAGCUAACGCGUGAAGUUGCCCGCCUGGGGAGUACGGCCGCA